GAAAGUAUAAUCUAGAAGAGAAUGUGCUCCUUAAGGAAAACAGAGUUUCCUCAGCCCAAUGGGAUCCUUGUGUAGUAAGUUAUAGGACAUGGUCAGGGGGAGCUUUUCCUCACGGCUUUCUCCUCAAUAUUUCAUUAUUAGAAAAUUUAAGUACACAGCAAAAUGGAGAAAGUUUUUAAUGAAUACCUAUAGUCCAAUCAUGUUGCUUUAUAAUGAACACUUUUUUUAUUUACAUCCUAGUUAUCUAUCAACUCACCUGCAUUUGUUACACUUCAAAGUAAAUUGUGAACAUUAGCUCAUCCUUGCCUAAAUACUUUCACAUGCAUAUAACUAUUAUAAGAGUAUGGUUUGUUCAUAUAUCUUAUUAGCCACACUGGGUUUUGUUUUAUUUUUUUAGUGUACAUCAUAUGUGACUUGAAAGUAUCAGUGAUUUUUCCUCAAUAUAAUGGAAUCAGCAAAAAUAUGAUGACUAUACACAUGUGUUUGAAUAUAAACUUAAUCAGUAAAGCUGAUCUUUAAUCUUUCAAAAUGAACUUGUUUUAUUAAGAUGUACUUUACAUGCAAUAAAUGUUGCUAUAUACAUUUAAUCUAUAGAUUUUCCUUUGAAUGCCACUUCAACUAUGUCAUGUAGGCUUUGGUAUAGUAUAUAUUCUAUUUCAAUGGUCACAAUUUUCUAUUUUCUAUUCUGAUUGAUUUUUUGCUUUGUUAUUUAUUUCCAAGUCCGUACCCAAUUCAGAAUUUUUGAAAUUUCUGCCUGUUAUUGGUUACUAACUUGAUUCCAUUGUAACUGGAGAAGUUUGUUCAGAUUUCAGGUCUUUCAGAUGUGCUGAGACCCGUAUUAUAACCCCAUAGACAGAUCAUAUGCAGAUCAUAUACAGAUCAUACUGGAGGGUGCUCCACUCAAAGGGCCACACUUUAGAGUCAAAGACACAGGUUGGAAGUACAACUAAUUUCAGCUUACAAAACUAGGCGCCCAUGCUGAAGUAAUUCAAGGAAGUGGGAUGUGCACGAGAAAGCCUUUGAGAAGAACUCAGAGGGGUGCAACAGGAAAAGACUAGACACAGAGUUACCACGCUGGGAGCCCCCCAGGUUACCAUUCGGCAGCUUACUCCUAACACUGUAACUCUUGGCAGACUUCAGAUGAUCACAGAGAUGACAGAUAUGUGUGGUACUGUGAAUGUAAUUUAGUGCCAUGAAUACCCUGGGCAAGAACUCUACCGAUGAGCUCCACACCAUAGCCUCAUCUCUCUUCAAAAAAAUCUGUUGUGUGAGAGAGGAUCAAUUAAAGUAGGCCCGACUAAGAGACACUUGAAACAAUUAAUGUGGACAACGGGUCAAAAAAACGUCCUGGAGCAUGGAUGGACUCUAUAUCUAAAUAAAUCAAGGUCACACGAGCAGGGCCCUCACAGAGAAACAGAAGUUGGUGGGCGCCAAGCUUUUUGUUUUUGUUUUUGUUGUUGUUUGAUUUGUGGCAGGCUCUCUCUAUGCAGC